UAACGCGUGGAUAACCUGCCGUAUACAGGGGGAUAACACUUANAAAUAGGUGCUAAUACCGCAUAAGCGCACGGUUCCGCAUGGAACAGUGUGAAAAACUUCGGUGGUAUACGAUGGAUCCGCGUCUGAUUAGCCAGUUGGCGGGGUAACGGCCCACCAAAGCGACGAUCAGUAGCCGGCCUGAGAGGGUGAACGGCCACAUUGGGACUGAGACACGGCCCAAACUCCUACGGGAGGCAGCAGUGGGGAAUAUUGCACAAUGGGGGAAACCCUGAUGCAGCGACGCCGCGUGAGUGAAGAAGUAUCUCGGUACGUAAAGCUCUAUCAGCAGGGAAGAAAAUGACGGUACCUGAUUAAGAAGCCCCGGCUAACUACGUGCCAGCAGCCGCGGUAAUACGUAGGGGGCAAGCGUUAUCCGGAUUUACUGGGUGUAAAGGGAGCGUAGACGGCAGCGCAAGUCUGGAGUGAAAUGCCGGGGCCCAACCCCGGAACUGCUUUGGAAACUGUGCAGCUCGAGUGCAGGAGAGGUAAGCGGAAUUCCUAGUGUAGCGGUGAAAUGCGUAGAUAUUAGGAGGAACACCAGUGGCGAAGGCGGCUUACUGGACUGUAACUGACGUUGAGGCUCGAAAGCGUGGGGAGCAAACAGGAUUAGA
rnacentral:rRNA from 1 species